CGAAGCGUGCGAUUGGAUUGCACGUCUAAGCAGUAAGGCUGAGUAUUAGGCAAAUCCGGUACUCGUUAAGGCUGAGCUGUGAUGGGGAGAAGACAUUGUGUCUUCGAGUCGUUGAUUUCACACUGCCGAGAAAAGCCUCUAGAUAGAAAAUAGGUGCCCGUACCGCAAACCGACACAGGUAGUCAAGAUGAGAAUUCUAAGGUGAGCGAGCGAACUCUCGUUAAGGAACUCGGCAAAAUGACCCCGUAACUUCGGGAGAAGGGGUGCUCUUUAGGGUUAACGCCCAGAAGAGCCGCAGUGAAUAGGCCCAAGCGACUGUUUAUCAAAAACACAGGUCUCUGCUAAACCGUAAGGUGAUGUAUAGGGGCUGACGCCUGCCCGGUGCUGGAAGGUUAAGAGGAGUGGUUAGCUUCUGCGAAGCUACGAAUCGAAGCCCCAGUAAACGGCGGCCGUAACUAUAACGGUCCUAAGGUAGCGAAAUUCCUUGUCGGGUAAGUUCCGACCCGCACGAAAGGCGUAACGAUUUGGGCACUGUCUCAACGAGAGACUCGGUGAAAUCAUAGUACCUGUGAAGAUGCAGGUUACCCGCGACAGGACGGAAAGACCCCGUGGAGCUUUACUGUAGCCUGAUAUUGAAAUUCGGCACAGCUUGUACAGGAUAGGUAGGAGCCUUUGAAACGUGAGCGCUAGCUUACGUGGAGGCGCUGGUGGGAUACUACCCUAGCUGUGUUGGCUUUCUAACCCGCACCACUUAUCGUGGUGGGAGACAGUGUCAGGCGGGCAGUUUGACUGGGGCGGUCGCCUCCUAAAAGGUAACGGAGGCGCUCAAAGGUUCCCUCAGAAUGGUUGGAAAUCAUUCAUAGAGUGUAAAGGCAUAAGGGAGCUUGACUGCGAGACCUACAAGUCGAGCAGGGUCGAAAGACGGACUUAGUGAUCCGGUGGUUCCGCAUGGAAGGGCCAUCGCUCAACGGAUAAAAGCUACC
rnacentral:rRNA from 1 species